UGUCUUUUUGAAAAUAAUAUAAAGUCUAAUCUGCCCACUGAUUUAAUAUUAAAGGGCUGCAGUAUAUUGACUGUACAAAGGUAGCAUAAUCAUUAGUCAUUUAAUUGGUGACUUGUAUGAAGGAUUGGAUGAAAUAUAAACUGUCUCUUAAUUAUUGUGUUAAGAAUUUAAUUUUUUAAUUAAAAAGUUAAAAUAUAUUAAAAAGACGAGAAGACCCUAUAGAGUUUUAUGAAUUAAAUUAAUUAAGAUUAUUUGUAAGAAUUAAAAUUAAAAUUAAUUUAUUUAUUUUGUUGGGGUGACAGAAAAAUAUAAUAAACUUUUUAUAUAUUUAAAACAUUAAUAAGUGAUUAAAUGAUCCAAUAUUAUUGAUUAUAAGAAAAAAUUACCUUAGGGAUAACAGCGUAAUUUUUUUUUUUAGUUCAUAUAAAAAAAAAAGUUUGCGACCUCGAUGUUGGAUUAAGAUAAAAUUUAAAUGCAGAAG
rnacentral:rRNA from 1 species